CCUACAUUAUAAUUUGAAAAGUGUCCUUACAAUUCUUAAAAAGUUAUUUUCAUUAUAUUAGAUAUUAAUAUGGGGGGGUAAUAAUUUCUACGGCGAAAAAAUGGCGGGGGGCGGACGAUAGACGACAGUACCGUGAGGGAAGAUGAAAGAACUUUGAAAAGAGAGUUAAACAGUACUAGGUGAAAUUGUUGAAAGGGAAACGAUUGAAGCCAGUCGUACCUACGGGAAAUCAACCUUUCGGGUGCUUGUCGUGGGUGUUUGUUGAGCUUCACGGCCUUCUGUGCUUUGGCAUUCUGGCACUUUGAGUGGUCUUGUUCCUCGGUGGUGGGAUAACAACAACUUUUUUGAUCGUCAAAAGGUGGGGAGGAAGAUUGCAAUCCUACGAA
rnacentral:rRNA from 1 species